rnacentral:sRNA from 1 species
UUUUAGCCCUGAUUGCAGCGGCAUCCUUUUUUUGCUUGGUGAUUUUGAUGAGGGCAAAAAGAUACAGCGGAAAGCAGGAAUAGCU